AACGAACGCUGGCGGCAGGCUUAACACAUGCAAGUCGAACGCCCCGCAAGGGGAGUGGCAGACGGGUGAGUAACACGUGGGAACAUGCCCAAAGGUACGGAAUAUUCUCGGGAAACCGAGAGCAAUACCGUAUGUGCCCGAAAGGGGAAAGAUUUAUCGCCUUUGGAUUGGCCCGCGUCGGAUUAGCUAGUUGGUGGGGUAAAAGCCUACCAAGGCGACGAUCCGUAGCUGGUCUGAGAGGACGACCAGCCACACUGGGACUGAGACACGGCCCAGACUCCUACGGGAGGCAGCAGUGGGGAAUCUUGGACAAUGGGCGCAAGCCUGAUCCAGCCAUGCCGCGUGGAUGAUGAAGGCCCUAGGGUUGUAAAAUCCUUUCGUUGGGGACGAUAAUGACGGUACCCAAAGAAGAAGCGCCGGCUAACUUCGUG
rnacentral:rRNA from 1 species